rnacentral:rRNA from 1 species
AGUCACUGACAUUAGAUACCCCGGUAGUCCAGGGUGUAAACGCUGCAGACUUGGUGUUGGAGGCCCUUUGGGGGCAUACAGUGCCGGAGAGAAGUUGUUAAGUCUGCUACUUGGGAAGUACGGUCGCAAGGCUGAAACUUAAAGGAAUUGGCGGGGAGCACCACAACGGGUGGAGCCUGCGGUUUAAUUGGACUCAACGCCGGAAAUCUCACCGGAUAGGACAGACAUAUGAUAGUCGGGCUGAAGACUCUACUUGAUGAUCUG